ensembl:lncRNA
CUUUGAGGGCACACAGAAAUUUUCUGUCUGGAAGAAGCGGUAAAAUGGAUUCGCUCACCACGGGUUCCGCUUCAGAAGAGAGUCUGGAAGUGACAGAGUGAAUGAGCUUGAACAAGAAAUGGAUCUCAUGAAGGAAUCAGACGCUUUGGCUUUAGCCUCCAUGGUCUAGAGGAAUAUGUCGCAGAAGCCAAAGAUGGAGAAGCUCUAUAUAAUCAGCAAAAAGAAGACUGGGAGCUGACUGUGGCUCAGAUCGUGAACUCCUUAUUGCCAAAUUCAGACUUAAAUUGAAGAAAGUAGGGAAAACAACUAGACCAUUCAGGUAUGACCUAAAUCAAACCCCUUACGAUUAUACAGUGGAAAUGACAAAUAGAUUCAAGGGAUUAGAUCUGAUAGACAGAGUGCCUGAAGAACUAUGGAAAGAGGUUCGUGACACUGUACAGGAGGCAGGGAUCAAGACCAUCCCCAAGAAAAAGAAAUGCAAAAAGACAAAAUGGUUGACUGAGGAGGCCUUACAAAUAGCUGAGAAAAGAAGAGAAGCAAAAGGCAAGGGAAAGAAGGAAAGAUAUACCCAUUUGAAGGCAGAAUUCCAAAAAAUAGCAAGGAGAGAUAAGAAAGCCCUCCUCGGUGAACAGGGCAAAGAAAUAGAGGAAAACAACAG